rnacentral:rRNA from 1 species
UACGUAGGGGGCUAGCGUUGUCCGGAUUUAUUGGGCGUAAAGAGCGUGUAGGCGGCCAGGUAGGUCUGGUGUGAAAACUCGAGGCUUAACCUCGAGAUGUCAUCGGAAACCAUUUGGCUAGAGUCCGGAAGAGGAGAGUGGAAUUCCUGGUGUAGCGGUGAAAUGCGCAGAUAUCAGGAAGAACACCAAUGGCGAAAGCAGCUCUCUGGGACGGUACUGACGCUGAGACGCGAAAAGCGUGGGGAGCAAACAGG